UUGUCUCAAAGAUUAGCCAUGCAUGUCUCAGUACAAGCCGCAAUUAAGGUGAAACCGCGAAAGGCUCAUUAAAUCAGUUAUGGUUCCUUAGAUCGUACCCACAUUUACUUGGAUAACUGUGGUAAUUCUAGAGCUAAUACAUGCAAACAGAGCUCCAACCGGAAACGGAAGGAGCGCUUUUAUUAGAUCAAAACCAAUCGGUGGCGGUUUCCGUCAUCGUACAACUUGGUGACUCUGAAUAACUUUACGCUGAUCGCACGGUCUCGCACCGGCGACGCAUCUUUCAAAUGUCUGCCUUAUCAACUGUCGAUGGUAGGUUCUGCGCCUACCAUGGUUGUAACGGGUAACGGGGAAUCAGGGUUCGAUUCCGGAGAGGGAGCCUGAGAAACGGCUACCACAUCCAAGGAAGGCAGCAGGCGCGCAAAUUACCCACUCCCGGCACGGGGAGGUAGUGACGAAAAAUAACGAUACGGGACUCAUCCGAGGCCCCGUAAUCGGAAUGAGUACACUCUAAACCCUUUAACGAGGAUCAAUUGGAGGGCAAGUCUGGUGCCAGCAGCCGCGGUAAUUCCAGCUCCAAUAGCGUAUAUUAAAGUUGUUGCGGUUAAAAAGCUCGUAGUCGAAUCUGUGUCCCGCGCCGCCGGUUCAUCGUUCGCGGUGUUAACUGGCGUGCCGCGGGACGUCCUGCCGGUGGGCUUAGCUCGAGAGGGCGGCCCAACUCAAUCCCGCCGCGGUGCUCUUCAUUGAGUGUCGAGGUGGGCCGGCACGUUUACUUUGAACAAAUUAGAGUGCUUAAAGCAGGCUAAAACUUCGCCUGAAUACUGUGUGCAUGGAAUAAUGGAAUAGGACCUCGGUUCUAUUUUGUUGGUUUUCUGAACCCCGAGGUAAUGAUUAAUAGGAACGGAUGGGGGCAUUCGUAUUGCGACGUUAGAGGUGAAAUUCUUGGAUCGUCGCAAGACGGACAG
rnacentral:rRNA from 1 species